GGGUAACGGCCCACCAAGGAGCGAUCAGUAGCCGGACUGAGAGGUUGACGGCCACAUUGGACUGAGACACGGCCCAGAUCCUACGGGAGGCAGCAGUGGGGAAUAUUGCGCAAUGGGGGAAACCCUGACGCAGCAACGCCGCGUGAUUGAAGAAGGCCUUCGGGUUGUAAAGAUCUUUAAUUCGGGACGAAAAAAAUGACGGUACCGAAAGAAUAAGCUCCGGCUAAUUACGUGCCAGCAGCCGCGGUAAUACGUAGGGAGCAAGCGUUAUCCGGAUUUACUGGGUGUAAAGGGCGCGCAGGCGGGCUUGCAAGUUGGGAGUGAAAUCCCGGGGCUCAACCCCGGAACUGCUUUCAAAACUGUGAGUCUUGAGUGAAGGAGAGGCAGGCGGAAUUCCCAGUGUAGCGGUGAAAUGGGUAGAUAUUGGGAGGAACACCAGUGGGGAAGGCGGCCUGCUGGACAUUAACUGACGGUGAGGCGCGAAAGCGUGGGGAGCAAACAGGAUUAGAUACCCUGGUAGUCCACGCCGUAAACGAUGGAUACUAGGUUAGGGGGGUAUGGACCCCCU
rnacentral:rRNA from 1 species